rnacentral:rRNA from 1 species
GAUGAACGCUGGCGGUGUGCCUAAUACAUGCAAGUCGAGCGGCAGCACUUCGGGUGGCGAGCGGCGAACGGCUGAGUAACGCGUGGGAACGUGCCCCAAAGUGAGGGAUAACUUCGAGAAAUCGGAGCUAAUACCGCAUAUGAUCUUCGGAUUAAAGAAUUUAUUCGCUUUGGGAGCGGCCUGCGUACGAUUAGAUUGUUGGUGAGGUAAAGGCUCACCAAGUCGACGAUCGUUAGCUGGUCUGAGAGGAUGAACAGCCAGACUGGAACUGAGACACGGUCCAGACUCCUACGGGAGGCAGCAGUAAGGAAUCUUCCACAAUGGGCGAAAGCCUGAUGGAGCAACACCGCGUGCAGGACGAAGGCCUUCGGGUUGUAAACUGCUUUUAUUAGCGAAGAAUAUGACGGUAACUAAUGAAUAAGGGUCGGCUAACUACGUGCCAGCCGCCGCGGUAA